rnacentral:rRNA from 1 species
GACGAACGCUGGCGGCGUGCUUAACACAUGCAAGUCGAACGGUAAGGCCCUUCGGGGUACACGAGUGGCGAACGGGUGAGUAACACGUGGGUGAUCUGCCCUGCACUUCGGGAUAAGCCUGGGAAACUGGGUCUAAUACCGGAUAGGACCACUGCCUACAUGGGUGGUGGUGGAAAGCUUUUGCGGUGUGGGAUGGGCCCGCGGCCUAUCAGCUUGUUGGUGGGGUGAUGGCCUACCAAGGCGACGACGGGUAGCCGGCCUGAGAGGGUGACCGGCCACACUGGGACUGAGAUACGGCCCAGACUCCUACGGGAGGCAGCAGUGGGGAAUAUUGCACAAUGGGCGCAAGCCUGAUGCAGCGACGCCGCGUGAGGGAUGACGGCCUUCGGGUUGUAAACCUCUUACAGCACCGACGAAGCGCAAGUGACGGUAGGUGCAGAAGAAGGACCGGCCAACUACGUGCCAGCAGCCGCAGUAA